GAACGCCUGUGGCAACACAGGAGUGGCGCACGGGUGAGUAACGCGUGGGAACCUGCCCUUGAGUGGGGGAUAACCCGGCGAAAGCCGGGCUAAUACCGCAUACGCCCUUGGAUGAAAGUCCUUGGGGAAAGAUUUAUCGCUCGAGGAGGGGCCCGCGUCGGAUUAGCUAGUUGGUGAGGUAACGGCUCACCAAGGCGAUGAUCCGUAGCUGGUCUGAGAGGAUGAUCAGCCACACUGGGACUGAGACACGGCCCAGACUCCUACGGGAGGCAGCAGUGGGGAAUAUUGGACAAUGGGGGCAACCCUGAUCCAGCAAUGCCGCGUGGGUGAUGAAGGCCUUAGGGUUGUAAAGCCCUUUUGCACGCGACGAUGAUGACGGUAGCGUGAGAAGAAGCCCCGGCUAACUUCGUG
rnacentral:rRNA from 1 species